rnacentral:lncRNA from 1 species
AUUAUCUCCAAGCUGGGCGGGUACUAAUUCAAAGGAUACACUGUAUUGUGAUUGGAUAUGUGUCUGUACUGUACCUGUAUUCCAUCAGGUCCACAGGAGGCUGUCCUUGGACCUGAGGAAUCACAUAAAUUGCCAUGCUAUGUGCCAGUAAAACCAGUUCGUUUUGACCCUCAACUUGCAGCCUCGACUUUGUAGGGAUCCGGGAUAUUGAUGCUUAUAUCGUGCUUGGGGAUAUUCUACAUUUGCAGUUUACUACCGACAGACCUCCGUUCGACUCUCUGCAGCGGGAACCAGGACAUCCAAGCGAUCAACCCUCCUGCUAGACCGGGGGCAAUCGUAACAAUACUCUAUAUUAGAGGAGGUAAAGGAGAUCUCACAGUGGGGUUAGCAGGAGAUACUCUAUAUUAGAGGAGGUAAAGGAGAUCUCACGGUGGGGUUAGGAGGGGGAUACUCUAUAUUAGAGGAGGUAAAGGAGAUCUCACGGUGGGGUUAGGAGGGGGAUACUCUAUAUUAGAGGAGGUAAAGGAGAUCUCACAGUGGGGUUAGCAGGAGAUACUCUAUAUUAGAGGAGGUAAAGGAGAUCUCACGGUGGAUACUCUAUAUUAGAGGAGGUAAAGGGUUAGGAGGGGCAUACUAUAUAUUAGAGGAGGUAAAGGAGAUCUCACAGUGGGGUUAGGAGGAGAUAUUCUAUAUUAGAGGAGGUAAAGGAGAUCUCACGGUGGAUACUCUAUAUUAGAGGAGGUAAAGGAGAUCUCACGGUGGGGUUAGGAGGAGAUACUCUAUAUUAGAGGAGGUAAAGGAGAUCUCACGGUGGGGUUAGGAGGGGGAUACUCUAUAUUAGAGGAGGUAAAGGAGAUCUCACGGUGGG